rnacentral:rRNA from 1 species
UGUGGCGCACGGGUGAGUAACACGUAGCUAACCUGCCCUCGAGUGGGGGAUAACCUGGGGAAACCUGGGCUAAUACCGCAUGAUAUCCCCGCAGGCAAAGGCCCGCUGGAGGAGGGGGCUGCGGCCGAUUAGCUAGUUGGUGAGGUAACGGCUCACCAAGGCGAUGAUCGGUAGCCGGCCUGAGAGGGCGCACGGCCACACUGGCACUGAAACACGGGCCAGACUCCUACGGGAGGCAGCAGUGGGGAAUUUUGCACAAUGCCCGAAAGGGUGAUGCAGCAACGCCGCGUGAGGGAUGAAGGCCUUCGGGUCGUAAACCUCUUUCGAUCGGGAAAAAUGAUGGUACCGGAUGAAGAAGCCCCG